GGGGUUGUGGCUCAGUGAUAGAGCGCUCACCUAGCACAUGUGAGGCCCUGGGUUCAAUCCUCAGCACCA
rnacentral:tRNA from 1 species